rnacentral:rRNA from 1 species
UACGUAGGGGGCAAGCGUUGUCCGGAUUUAUUGGGCGUAAAGAGCGUGUAGGCGGCUAGGUAGGUCCGUUGUGAAAACUCGAGGCUCAACCUCGAGACGUCGAUGGAAACCAUCUAGCUAGAGUCCGGAAGAGGAGAGUGGAAUUCCUGGUGUAGCGGUGAAAUGCGCAGAUAUCAGGAGGAACACCGGCGGCGAAGGCGGCGACCUGGCUGGAUACUGACGCUGAGGAGCGAAAGCGUGGGGAGCAAACAGG